rnacentral:lncRNA from 1 species
AUGAAAAUAUAAGGGUUUUAAGUCUGAAAAAUAAAUAAAUAAAAAGAAUGCUGACCGCAGGGAUCGAACCCGGGUCAACACAUUCGCAAGCACACGCACAAGCCAGCUGGGCUGGGUCUUGACAUCGAACAUAACUCGGCUCACAAUUCAUUUAAACCCUCGUUCAAGCCAAGCCCAACAUACUAAUUAAACUAUAAAACACUAGCAAAACCCUAAUGCCUUCUUUAUUUAUUUUUUUUUUUUUGAACAGCCGCACAUAACAUAGAUGUUUCUCCUCUUUUCCUUGUUUGCCUGUUAAUACACACCCUCUUACAAAUGGAGACAAGAGACUCCAUCUCUUUCAAGCUUAUAAUCUCACCAUCAACCUCACCCAACUUCCCGCAUCUCUCUCUCUCUCAUUCAGACGUCGGCGACAGGAGCCGCUCCGACCGUCUUCUCCGGCGUCGGUUCCGGCCGACCACACACCUCCCUCGCUCACCCCUCAUCCCUGCUAAUCGAAUGACCAACCACCGCCCUUGGUGGCGGCACUCGUCGGCAACAGAAACGGAACGACGGCAGAACCAUCGAGCGGCGAGAACGGCGGCGGUGCUAGGGGUUUCUUCGCGGCGGCUCGUUUUAGUGUUUGUUUGACUCGUGUCGCGUCGGCUCGGUCCAGAUUCGGUUCAAUUCAGUUCCGUUCGGGUCAGAUUCGAUGUUCAGUUAUUGUCUCGGGUAGUUUCGGCUCGAGUCGCACAAGGGGCUUGGCAUACAUAUGGGUUCGUUGCGGAUUAUGUCUCGGUGCCACUCGGCUCAACCCGGUUCGACUCGGUAUAAUAACGCUUAUGCUAAUUACUUUGUCUCAUAUUUUUGUAACGCCUUAACUCGCUGAACCGAACACUACAUGAUUUGUAAACAUAAUAAAAGCGAGUCGCAAUCGUAACCACUCAUAAUCUCGAGACUUCAGUGUUCCAUCCUUUUCAUCUCAUACACUCGUCAACACUUGGAUAAUCGGAAG